AUUGAACGCUGGCGGCAUGCUUUACACAUGCAAGUCGGACGGCAGCACAGUGGAGCUUGCUUCUUGGGUGGCGAGUGGCGAACGGGUGAGUAACGCAUAGGAACGUACAGAGUAAUGGGGGAUAUCUGUUCGAAAGGCUAGCUCAUAUAGCAUACGCCAUGUGGGGGAAAGCGGGGGAUCUUAGGACCUCGCGCUAUUCGAGCGGCCGAUGUCUGAUUAGCUGGUUGGCGGGGUAAAGGCCCACCAAGGCGACGAUCAGUAGCGGGUCUGAGAGGAUGAUCCGCCACACUGGAACUGAGACACGGCCCAGACUCCUACGGGAGGCAGCAGUGGGGAAUUUUGGACAAUGGGCGCAAGCCUGAUCCAGCCAUGCCGCGUGUCUGAAGAAGGCCUUCGGGUUGUAAAGGACUUUUGUCAGGGAAGAAAAGGGGCAUGUUAAUACCGUGCUCUGAUGACGGUACCUGAAGAAUAAGCACCGGCUAACUACGUG
rnacentral:rRNA from 1 species